rnacentral:misc_RNA from 1 species
AUUUCUCUUCCUUUCUUAGUUACAUCUUGAAUUGAGUUGAUAUGCUAAGAAAAUUGAAAAAAAUGAAGAGGAAUGGUGAACCCUAGAAUUCGGUAGCCAUGGGAACCAUGAGAGUUUGAUUAAUUCAUACAUGUAAAUGGUGAUUAGUGAUGUUAAUUAAGGUAGUUACAUGUACUGGAACUUAAUUGCAUGUGUAUGUUUGAGGUUGACAAUUUGAAUUAGGAUUUGAACAAAUUAUUGG